AUGGAUCUCGCGACCACCAGGUUCCCGCCAUGCCACGCGAUCCAAGCUUUGCUCGGGUACAUACACACAUUUGGGCAUUGGAGAUUAUGCAUUAAAGUGAGCUUGCAGUGCACUAGCUCAUCGUGUGAUGAAGAAACAGGUGUCUCGUAUGCUGAAUUUGAUGUGUCCUGUGUGUACUGUUUGUGUAAAAAGAACAAUGUUUCAUUAUUCCUCUGUAUGAAGUGCAAUUUGUUUCGUGUGGAUCAAAAUUCAGUCAACUACAUCAACACCUGUAGUGUGUUUGGUCCUCGGAUGUGGUUCACUUUUGAGACUGAUGCUGUUCACUUGUGCCCAACAUAA
rnacentral:rRNA from 1 species